rnacentral:rRNA from 1 species
UACAGAGGUCCCAAGCGUUGUUCGGAUUCAUUGGGCGUAAAGGGCGCGUAGGCGGUUUGUUAAGUCAGCUGUGAAAGCCCGGGGCUCAACCCCGGAGGGUCAGCUGAUACUGGCAGACUAGAGUACAGAAGAGGUAACUGGAAUUCCCGGUGUAACGGUGAAAUGCGUAGAUAUCGGGAGGAACACCUGAGGCGAAGGCGGGUUACUGGGCUGAUACUGACGCUGAUGCGCGAAAGCCAGGGGAGCAAACGGG